AAAUGAACUCUCAGAUAAUUAAGACAAAAACACCAAAUCACCAGUGGGUGAACACUUUUCAGAAAACGAUCACUCCCUGUAUCUGACUUCUCAGUCCUCACCCUCACAGGAAACCUGCACAACACCUUCAAACGAUGAGCCUGGAAGCUUAAAUUCAUAACU